CAGUGGCAAGGAACAGGCCCAGAAAGACGGUUUCUCAUUUGUGAACCCAGUCAUCACAGAGAUCUUCCCAGAGUUUGGACCUAAGUCCGGCGGAACGAUGCUCACUAUCAUGGGUUCAUUCCUGGAUAGUGGAAAUAUGCAACUGGUUACCGUGGGCAAUGCUACCUGUGUGCUGCAGAGUAUUUCAGCCACAAUGUUGACAUGUCGGACACCACCUCAGCCAUCACCAUCCCAACACAAGGUACAGCUGCACAUUGAUGGAGUGAUUCGUGAAGCUCCU